AGAGCGAACGCUGGCGGCAGGCCUAAUACAUGCAAGUCGAACGGAUCCUUCGGGAUUAGUGGCGGACGGGUGAGUAACACGUGGGAACGUGCCCUUUGGUUCGGAACAACUCAGGGAAACUUGAGCUAAUACCGGAUGUGCCCUUCGGGGGAAAGAUUUAUCGCCAUUGGAGCGGCCCGCGUCUGAUUAGCUAGUUGGUGAGGUAAAGGCUCACCAAGGCUUCGAUCAGUAGCUGGUCUGAGAGGAUGAUCAGCCACACUGGGACUGAGACACGGCCCAGACUCCUACGGGAGGCAGCAGUAGGAAUCUUGCGCAAUGGGCGAAAGCCUGACGCAGCCAUGCCGCGUGAAUGAUGAAGGUCUUAGGAUUGUAAAAUUCUUUCAGCGGGACGAUAAUGACGGUACCCGCAGAAGAAGCCCCGGCUAACUUCGCGCCAGCAGCCGC
rnacentral:rRNA from 1 species